CUGGAAUGAUGAAAGUUAGCCAAAUCAUAUUAUGAUGUGCUCCUCUAGGUGUCAUUUUUUGUCUUGGUGAAAAAUUAUUCUUUCCUAAGCACAAGAUGAGAUGACUAGAGUUGAAGUAUGCAUCAUUACGUGAUGAUAAAAACUGAGAUUGGUAACUUGCUGACCAGA